rnacentral:rRNA from 1 species
AAGAGGAAAAUAAUGAUAUCACUUUUACAAAUAGUGUUGUCCAAAGCUGAGACUCGGUAAGGCCAGAGACGCGAGCGUUAAUCAUCUUGAACAGGCGUAAAGGGUUUGUAGGCAGCUUUAAAAUAAUUAAAGAUUGAAUCAAAUAGAGGUCAAGAGAAUUUCUAGAUUAGGGUUGAUAUCUAUAAAAACUAGAAGGAAUUCUAAUUAGCGAAGGCACUUUUCUAUCUAAUGAUUGACGCUGAGAAACGAAGGGGAGGAUAGACAAUAGGAUUAGAUACCCUGGCAUCCCUCUCUGUAAACGAUGAAUGGUAGUUGCUAGUAAUAAUUAUUAGUGGCGAUGCUAACGCGUUAACCAUUCCGCCUUGUGAGUACGACUGCAAAGUUGAAAACAAAAAAAUUAGUCGGUUUCGGAGCAA